GACGAACGCUGGCGGCGUGCUUAACACAUGCGAGUCGAACGGAAAGGCCCUGCUUUUGUGGGGUGCUCGAGUGGCGAACGGGUGAGUAACACGUGAGUAACCUGCCCUAGACUUUGGGAUAACUUCAGGAAACUGGGGCUAAUACCGGAUAGGAGCUCCUGCUGCAUGGUGGGGGUUGGAAAGUUUCGGCGGUUGGGGAUGGACUCGCGGCUUAUCAGCUUGUUGGUGGGGUAGUGGCUUACCAAGGCUUUGACGGGUAGCCGGCCUGAGAGGGUGACCGGCCACAUUGGGACUGAGAUACGGCCCAGACUCCUACGGGAGGCAGCAGUGGGGAAUAUUGCACAAUGGGCGGAAGCCUGAUGCAGCAACGCCGCGUGCGGGAUGACGGCCUUCGGGUUGUAAACCGCUUUCGCCUGUGACGAAGCGUGAGUGACGGUAAUGGGUAAAGAAGCACCGGCUAACUACGUG
rnacentral:rRNA from 1 species